rnacentral:rRNA from 1 species
CAGUCGAGGGGCAGCACAGGUAGCAAUACCGGGUGGCGACCGGCGCACGGGUGAGUAACGCGUAUGCAACUUGCCUAUCAGAGGGGGAUAACCCGGCGAAAGUCGGACUAAUACCGCAUGAAGCAGGGGCCCCGCAUGGGGAUAUUUGCUAAAGAUUCAUCGCUGAUAGAUAGGCAUGCGUUCCAUUAGGCAGUUGGCGGGGUAACGGCCCACCAAACCGACGAUGGAUAGGGGUUCUGAGAGGAAGGUCCCCCACAUUGGUACUGAGACACGGACCAAACUCCUACGGGAGGCAGCAGUGAGGAAUAUUGGUCAAUGGGCGUAAGCCUGAACCAGCCAAGUCGCGUGAGGGAUGAAGGUUCUAUGGAUCGUAAACCUCUUUUAUAAGGGAAUAAAGUGCGGGACGUGUCCCGUUUUGUAUGUACCUUAUGAAUAAGGAUCGGCUAACUCCGUGCCAGCAGCCGCGGUAAUACGGAGGAUCCGAGCGUUAUCCGGAUUUAUUGGGUUUAAAGGGUGCGUAGGCGGCCUUUUAAGUCAGCGGUGAAAGUCUGUGGCUCAACCAUAGAAUUGCCGUUGAAACUGGGGGGCUUGAGUAUGUUUGAGGCAGGCGGAAUGCCUGGUGUAGCGGUGAAAUGCAUAG